CUCCCAAGCCGUAGUUUCUAUUUUUAUUCUGUUUAAAUAUGUACACGUGAUGUGGACGCCGACGUCUCUUUGGAGAUGUGAAUUUAUGCUUUGGAUGAAUAAUUCAAUUAUACAAACACGUUGGACUUUGACGUCAUCAGUGGUCGACCAGAACAAAAACAUGGCGGAAAGUCAUUCGGCUUGACUUCGAAUACUCAACCUAAAGAAUCCUCAGAAGUGUCUGGACCGGACAAAUUUACUUUUUUUUGGGUUGAGGAGGACGAGGAAGGGAGUCCUAUCCCAAAGAGGAGGAGAACAGGGAAGAAGCGGGCAAAGAGUUCAUCCUCAGUGACUUCUGGGAGCAUGCACUCAUUGCCAUGUGCUCCAUCUACAAGUGGACAUCAGCACGUGACUGAGACCGUUCAAGAUAUAUAUUUUAGCAGCAGUUUAUUUACCCUCUUCUUUCCAUGUUUGUCUUAUUGCUGCUACAUUUGGUUACCUUACCCUGUUUUCUAGGAUCCCUCAUUCAAGAGGUGCAGGACCUUUUGGGACCUGCCAUAGACCCAGCACCUUCACACUGGAAAGACAGGAAAGCUUCAACUCUGGAAAAGUGGACUGUGUUAAGGCCGUAUAUGGUUAAUCAGAUGUUACAGUCUGAGAAGCCUAUAGAGGGAACUUGUCACCACUGCAGAUCUAAGACUGCUGUUGUGAAAUGUCAGGAUUGUUUGCCUAGACCACUUCACUGUGCAGCCUGUGAUGUUUCCAUCCACAAUUCCAUGGUUUUCCAUAAUAGAUCAUCCAUGAUAGAGGGAUUCUACAGGCCACUGCCACCAACCACUCACAUCAGGGAAGAGAAGGGAGGAAAAUUCUCCUUCCAUG